rnacentral:rRNA from 1 species
CAUGGGCGCAGCCUGAUGCAGCCAUGCCGCGUGUGUGAAGAAGGCCUUCGGGUUGUAAAGCACUUUCAGUCGUGAGGAAGGUGGUGUAGUUAAUAGCUGCAUUAUUUGACGUUAGCGACAGAAGAAGCACCGGCUAACUCCGUGCCAGCAGCCGCGGUAAUACGGAGGGUGCGAGCGUUAAUCGGAAUUACUGGGCGUAAAGCGCAUGCAGGUGGUUAGUUAAGUCAGAUGUGAAAGCCCGGGGCUCAACCUCGGAACUGCAUUUGAAACUGGCUGACUAGAGUACUGUAGAGGGGGGUAGAAUUUCAGGUGUAGCGGUGAAAUGCGUAGAGAUCUGAAGGAAUACCGGUGGCGAAGGCGGCCCCCUGGACAGAUACUGACACUCAGAUGCGAAAGCGUGGGGAGCAAACAGGAUUAGAUACCCUGGUAGUCCACGCCGUAAACUAUGUCUACUUGGAGGUUGUGGCCUUGAGCCGUGGCUUUCGGAGCUAACGCGUUAAGUAGACCGCCUGGGGAGUACGGUCGCAAGAUUAAAACUCAAAUGAAUUGACGGGGGCCCGCACAAGCGGUGGAGCAUGUGGUUUAAUUCGAUGCAACGCGAAGAACCUUACCUACUCUUGACAUCCAGAGAACUUAGCAGAGAUGCUUUGGUGCCUUCGGGAACUCUGAGACAGGUGCUGCAUGGCUGUCGUCAGCUCGUGUUGUGAAAUGUUGGGUUAAGUCCCGCAACGAGCGCAACCCUUAUCCUUGUUUGCCAGCACUUCGGGUGGGAACUCCAGGGAGACUGCCGGUGAUAAACCGGAGGAAGGUGGGGACGACGUCAAGUCAUCAUGGCCCUUACGAGUAGGGCUACACACGUGCUACAAUGGCGCAUACAGAGGGCGGCCAACUUGCGAAAGUGAGCGAAUCCCAAAAAGUGCGUCGUAGUCCGGAUUGGAGUCUGCAACUCGACUCCAU